GCGCGAUUAGCUCAGUUGGUAGAGCAAGGGAUUCUUAAUCCCUGGGUCGAAGGUUCGAGUCCUUCAUCGCGCACCA
rnacentral:tRNA from 1 species